rnacentral:tRNA from 1 species
GGGGUUGUGGCUUAGCGGUAGAGCGCUCGCCUGGUGAAUGUGGGGCCCUGGGUUCAAUCCCCAGCACCA